rnacentral:rRNA from 1 species
GUCGGGAAAUUAUUGGUCGUAAAGUCGCUAGCAAGCAGUCCUUCAAGUUCUGUUGGGCAAUUCUCGCAGCUCAUCCGCGACCGCUUAUUGGUAAUCGGGAACUCUUGAGUAUCAGAAGAGGAGAGUGGAAUUCCACGUGUAGCGGUGGAAAUGCGUAGAGAUGCGGAUGAACACUCAUUGUGAAGGUGACUUUNUGGUCUGUAUCUGACGCUGAGACCGAACGCGUGGGGAGCGAACAGGAUUAGAUACAGAGGUAGUNCACGCCGUAAACGAUGAGUGUUAGGUGUUAGGGGGUUUCCGCCCCCUAGUGAUGAAGUUAACGCAUUAAGCACUCCGCUUGGGGAGUACGCCCUCAAGGCUGAAACUCAAAAGAAUAGACGGGGGCCCGCACAAGCGGUGGAGCAUGUGGUUUAAUUUGAAGCAACGCGAAGAACCUUACCAGGUCUUGACAUCCUCUGGUAUUCCUAGAGAUAGGAAGUUCCCUUCGGGGACAGAGUGACAGGUGGUGCAUGGUUGUCGUCAGCUCGUGUCGUGAGAUGUUGGGUUAAGUCCCGCAACGAGCGCAACCCUUGAUUUUAGUUGCCAGCAUUUAGUUGGGCACUUUAAGGUGACUUCCGGUGAUAAACCGGAGGAAGGUGGGGAUGACGUCAAAUCAUCAUGCCCCUUAUGACCUGGGCUACACACGUGCUACAAUGGAUGGAACAAAGGGAAGCAAAACCGUGAGGUCAAGCAAAUCCCAUAAAACCAUUCUCAGUUCGGAUUGCAGGCUGCAACUCGCCUGCAUGAAGCCGGAAUCGUUAGUAAUCGCGGAUCAGCAUGCCGCGGUGAAUACGUUCCCGGGCCUUGUACACACCGCCCGUCACACCACGAGAGUUGGUAACACCCGAAGUCGGUGAGGUAACCUUUUGGUCCACCCCUUAAGGGGGCCCAGAUGUUGAAGUAUGCCGGGGGGACGCAGGUGCGGCUGUUCCCCCCCUCCUUG